AGCCUUUAGCCAAACAAGUAUUAAAGGUCCCACCUGCCCAGUGACUCUCUUAAACGGCCGCGGUAUCCUAACCGUGCAAAGGUAGCAUAAUCACUUGUCUCCUAAAUAGAGACUAGUAUGAACGGUCAAAUGAGGACUUAACUGUCUCUUACAUUUAACCAAUAAAACUGAUCUCUCAGUUAAAAAGCUGAGAUAUAAACAUAAGACGAGAAGACCCUGUGGAGCUUCAAACCUAAACUAACCCAAAUGGCGUUCGGUUUUUAGUUGGGGCGACUUCGGAGUACAAAAAACCCUCCGACACAAACUAUAUCAAGACCAACACGUCAAUAUAUACACUUCCUGACCCGGUGUUUAAUAAAACAUCCGACCAAUGAACCAAGUUACCCCAGGGAUAACAGCGCCAUCCCCUUCUAGAGUCCCUAUCGACAAGGGGGUUUACGACCUCGAUGUUGGAUCAGGACACCCAAAUAGUGCAGCCGCUAUUAAAGGUUCGUUUGUUCAACGAUUAAUAGUCCUACGUGAUCUGA
rnacentral:rRNA from 1 species